rnacentral:rRNA from 1 species
UACGGAGGAUCCAAGCGUUAUCCGGAUUGACUGGGCGUAAAGCGCACGCAGGCGGUUGCGCGCGUGGGGUGUGAAAGCUGGUGGCUUAACUGCCAGAUGCCAUCCCAUACGGCGCGACUCGAGCCCGUGAGAGGUCCACGGAAUUCCUGGUGUAGCGGUGAAAUGCGCAGAUAUCAGGAGGAACACCAAUUGCGAAGGCAGCUCGCUGGGACGUGACUGACGCUGAGACGCGAAAGCGUGGGGAGCAAACAGG